AGUCAAUAGAUACCCUGGUAGUCCUAGCCGUAAACGAUACUCGCUAGGUGUCGGCCACGGUGCGACCGUUGUCGGUGCCGUAGGGAAAGCCGUGAAGCGAGCCACCUGGGAAGUACGGCCGCAAGGCUGAAACUUAAAGGAAUUGGCGGGGGAGCACCACAACGGGUGGAGCUUGCGGUUUAAAUUGGAUUCAACGCCGGAAAUCUUACCGGGACCGACAGCGAUAUGAAGGCCAAGCUGAAGACUUUGCCGGAUUAGCUGAGAGGUGGUGCAUGGCCGUCGUCAGUUCGUACUGUGAAGCAUCCUGUUAAGUCAGGCAACGAGCGAGACCCACGCCCACAGUUGCCAGCGUACUCUCCGGAGUGACGGGUACACUGUGGGGACCGCCGCUGCUAAAGCGGAGGAAGGAAUGGGCAACGGUAGGUCAGUAUGCCCCGAAUAUCCCGGGCUACACGCGAGCUACAAUGGUUGGAACAAUGGGUAUCUACCCCGAAAGGGGAUGGAAAUCUCCUAAAUCCAAUCUUAGUUCGGAUUGAGGGCUGCAACUCG
rnacentral:rRNA from 1 species